UUUUUUUUUUUUUUUUUGUAAGGGUGAGUGAAAUUGUAGGAUUUUGAAAUCUGAUAGUAUAACUUUCUUUAUACUAAGUUUAUUACUUUGUAGAUUUUGGUUGGUAUUUUUUUAAAAUAGACUUUUUACGUCUUGGUUUGGUUGUUUUUGAUGUUUCGUUUUAAUGGGUUUAAAUUGUGAAAUCUAAAAGUAUAAUGUUCUUUGUACAAAGUUGAUUACUUUGUAGGUUGUGGCAAAGAUUAAUUUUAUAAGAGUUACCUAAGCUUUGGUUUCAGUAUUUGGUCUUUUGGCCUUCAAUCCAGCCACUUUCCCUUACCCUUUCAGCCAAUUAUAUAUCAUACUUAAGCAUUACUCCUUCGAUGCCAUUCUACUUGGAACGUUUUAUCUCCUUCUCAUAGCUACUUUCCCUGACUCAAUUGGAGCAUGCUUUGGUCACAUUGAUUUCACCUUCUAAUUCAAGGUCCAUUACGUGGACAUGUUUAUUUCUUCCUACAGUAUAUAAAAGAUUUGGUAAGGCCCAACAAUUUAGCUCCGGGUUUUCUUCCUUUUUUUCAAUUUUGUAUCAACUUAUUUUUUAUCUUAUUUUUAUGUAAUGUACUUUUAUGUUAAAAAGUAGGAGCAAGCAUGGGCAAGUUAGAAAAGCUAAGGUCUUUCUCCCUUUAGUUGAUUAUAUAGACACUCAUUUGCUUGGACUCAAGCUUAAUGUCUAACAAGCAGUUCACACGCCAAUUCAUGUUCCCUGUUUUAGAGAUAACCAAUAUGAAAAUUGAUUUGCAAUUUUCUGUCAACCCAUUUUAUGUAUAGCGUUAGAUAAAAGCUAUUUUAUUCUUGGUCUCAAGUUUUUAAUUAGUUCUUUGAAUUGUCUAUAUAAAAUAUUUUUGUAAAAAUGCUCUCUAAUUUUAUAAAGAACAUUCUGGUUUGCUUGAUCAGAGUUGGGAUAUAUGUAGUCUGAUUUUAAUCUAACAAGCAUAGGUGAGAGGUUUGUGAUGAUGCCUUCUUUGUUCUUAGUUUCCAUCUAUUAUUUUCUUUGGAAAGUAGAGGAGACACCUAGGCUACAGGGAUUAGUCUUUUGUGACAAGGACCAAUUAUAAGGCACCUAAAUGAAUUUAUGUGCUUCAAGUUGAAGACACCACAAAGUUGAAGACCAAAAUGAAUUUGGUGAAGGUUGUGAAACAGUUGAUGCCUUAUAAGUUGUAACUUAACAAAUUUUAUCCUAGAGUGAUAAUGCCUUCAUUUUUCUCUAUGUGUGUUUAAUUUGAUAUCCUUAUUGGGCACAUUAUUACUAGAGGUAUAUAACUAGAGGCAUAAGCACAAGUCUAAUGAUGGUUUCCUGAUCACUGUCAUAGCUUUUGUCUAGAUGAAAAGUAGUUUUCUUUUUUCUUAAUAUGCAUGUAUUUUAAUGCGUUUCUACUUUUAAGUCCUUGCUUUGUAUUUGCCUUUGAGAGGCAUUGAGUAGAGUUCAAUAUUGCAGUUACUUUGAAUUUAGUGAUGGUAUUAACUUGACAUUUGAUUACUUUUGUCCAACAUUUAGUUGAUCUAUUCUAAUAUUAUUUAUUCACCUUUGUCUUUGGAUAUUAGAGCACAUUGAAGAUGCUACUCUUUACCUUGAUGCUGCAUCUAUAUAAAGUUUCCAAUUUGUUGGGGCAUUCCAUGUGUUGCUGGACCUGGGAGUUUAUGUUGUUUGCAAUUUGGAGAGCAUGUGUUUUGUUGAUGUAGUGGUAGUUUGGAACUAAAAAUCUGAUGGUGGAAGGAAAAUAGUGGUCAUCAUCUCAGCAUAUGUUUGUUAAGCAAGAUUUGUAGCUGAGUACUACCUGAUAUCUCAUCAGUCAUCCGUCUAACACUUGAGCCAAGGCCCAAUUGCAACAUGUUACCUACUAUUUUUUAUUGUUAUUUUUGGUGAAGUGUAGUUACUUUUUUUCCCCUUUGGAUAAAUUAGUCAAUUGUAAGUAUUACAUUACUAUAUUUCAAUAUAUAUUGUUGUCAUUGUUGAACGCAUUACUAGGACUUUACUCUAAAUAUAACUU